rnacentral:rRNA from 1 species
AUUGAACGCUGGCGGCAUGCUUUACACAUGCAAGUCGAACGGUAACAGGCCGCAAGGUGCUGACGAGUGGCGAACGGGUGAGUAAUGCAUCGGAACGUGCCCAGUCGUGGGGGAUAACGCAGCGAAAGCUGUGCUAAUACCGCAUACGAUCUAUGGAUGAAAGCGGGGGACCGUAAGGCCUCGCGCGAUUGGAGCGGCCGAUGUCAGAUUAGGUAGUUGGUGGGGUAAAGGCCUACCAAGCCGACGAUCUGUAGCUGGUCUGAGAGGACGACCAGCCACACUGGGACUGAGACACGGCCCAGACUCCUACGGGAGGCAGCAGCGGGGAAUUUUGGACAAUGGGCGCAAGCCUGAUCCAGCAAUGCCGCGUGCAGGAAGAAGGCCUUCGGGUUGUAAACUGCUUUUGUACGGAACGAAACGGUCUGGGUUAAUACCCUGGGCUAAUGACGGUACCGUAAGAAUAAGCACCGGCUAACUACGUGCCAGCCGCCGCCGUAAGAC